rnacentral:rRNA from 1 species
CCUACGGGUGGCAGCAGUGAGGAAUAUUGGUCAAUGGGCGAGAGCCUGAACCAGCCAAGUCGCGUGAGGGAGUACUGCCCUAUGGGUUGUAAACCUCUUUUGUCGGGGAGCAAAUGCCGGACGUGUCCGGCUGUGCGAGUUCCCGAAGAAAAAGCAUCGGCUAACUCCGUGCCCGCAGCCGCGGUAAUACGGGGGAUGCGAGCGUUAUCCGGGUUUAUUGGGUUUAAAGGGUGCGCAGGCGGAUGUUUAAGUCAGCGGUAAAAUGGUGGGGCUCAACCCCAUCCAGCCGUUGAAACUGGGGAUCUAGAGUGUGCGAGAGGUAUGCGGAAUGCGUGGUGGAGCGGUGAAAUGCAUAGAUAUCACGCAGAACCCCGAUUGCGAAGGCAGCAUACCGGUGCACAACUGACGCUCAGGCACGAAAGCGUGGGUAUCGAACAGGAUUAGAUACCCCAGUAGUC